CCUGACGACCUUAGCGAGUGGGAACCACCUGAACCCUUUUCGAACUCAGAAGUGAAACCGCUCAGCGCCGAUGAUAGUGUGGGGCUUCCCCAUGUGAAAGUAGGUCAUCGUCAGGC
rnacentral:rRNA from 1 species